rnacentral:rRNA from 1 species
GUGCCAGCAGCCGCGGUAAUACGUAGGUGGCAAGCGUUGUCCGGAAUCACUGGGCGUAAAGCGCGCGCAGGCGGCGAUCUACGUCUGGGGUGAAAGCCCGGAGCUCAACUCCGGGACUGCCUUGGAUACGGGAUCGCUUGAGGAUUGGAGAGGCAAGGGGAAUUCCACGUGUAGCGGUGAAAUGCGUAGAUAUGUGGAGGAACACCUGUGGCGAAGGCGCCUUGCUGGCCAAUUUCUGACGCUGAGGCGCGAAAGCGUGGGGAGCAAACAGGAUUAGAAACCCCUGUAGUCC